rnacentral:lncRNA from 1 species
GGUACAGUCUCCUGCUCCGAAAAGAGCUACAGUGUCUGCAAAUAAGUUUUCAAUUUUUACUGCCAUAAAAACAGGAUGUUUACAGUGUUGUCUCCCCUCAAAACAUGUAUAUUUAAUAUCAUUUUAAAAUUAUUUCAAUGAUUCAUCCUGUUUUAAUUGAAAGCAAAUUAACUAUUAUUUACAAUCAAAUACAAAAAACAUGAUACUUUUUCACCAAUUAAGUAAGUAAACAGGGGUUUCCCUCCAUGGUUAUUUUUAGUGGGGGAAUAACCCCUAGUUUUUUAUACCAACUGUUUAUAGCACCCUAAGCAAGUGUGGC